CGGACGGGUGAGUAACGCGUGGAUAACCUGCCUUACACUGGGGGAUAACACUUAGAAAUAGGUGCUAAUACCGCAUAAGCGCACAGCCCCGCAUGGGGGAGUGUGAAAAACUCCGGUGGUGUAAGAUGGAUCCGCGUCUGAUUAGCUAGUUGGCAGGGUAACGGCCUACCAAGGCAGCGAUCAGUAGCCGGCCUGAGAGGGUGGACGGCCACAUUGGGACUGAGACACGGCCCAGACUCCUACGGGAGGCAGCAG
rnacentral:rRNA from 1 species